ACUUUUUUAGUAUAAUUAAUAUAUUUGACUUCCAAUCAAAAGAUCUUGCUAAGAAAAAGUA
rnacentral:tRNA from 1 species